GAAGUUGUUGAAGAGACAGAAAAUGGCAGGGAAGCACCAGCGAAUGGUAACGCUAACGAGGAAAAUGGGGAGCAGGAGGCAGACAACGAGGUAGAUGAAGAGGAGGAAGAAGUUGGCGACGACGACGAGGAUGAGGAAGAAGGUGAAGAAGAAGAUGGUGAGGAGGAAGAUGAGGCAGAAGGCCCUACAGGCAAGCGGGCAGCUGAGGACGAUGAGGAUGACGACGUGGACCCCAAAAAGCAGAAAACUGAUGAAGAUGAUUAGGAAGCAGAGUAAUUAAAGGAAAAAAAAAAAACAUUUUUUUUAAACUUAAAAGAGGAAAAAAAAAUUUUAAAGGCCAGCGCGAGCUACUUCACCUUUGAAACUUCCCGUUGCAAAGCGUUUCUCCCUUUUCCCGCCCCCUUCUUGCAGUGGUCACCGUCAUCAAGUAGAGCAGGAAAAGCCCUGUACGCACCGGCGUCCGGCUAUCGUUUUCCCGACUCAGAACGAAAUAAAAGCGAAACCCCCUUUCCCUCCCGCGUUGCC
rnacentral:lncRNA from 1 species